rnacentral:lncRNA from 1 species
AUGCUUUAGAUCUGAAAAUAAAAAUCACAUCGAUCUCAUCGAUGCUGAAAUUCUAGAUCUAACUAUUAGAUCUACCAUAGGAAUCAAAAUAAGUUAGAGAUCAUUAUCAAACAAAUUUUAAUCUUGAUCUCCUCUAAUCCAAUGGUUGGAGAUGGUAUUCUUCAGGUCACUUAUAGCCACACAAAGUUGUCUGGCCUCUAUAGAAAAAUCCACAUGAAGACUGACAUAGAUCAGGGGCUUGAAGAUGCUAGUCUGCGAACAACUUCGACAGCUGACCUCUUUCUUCUUCUACAAGUACCUUGGAUACUCCAAAGUGAUAGGAGAUCUGGAAGAGGAAGAGAAGAGGAGGAAAAG